UUGCGUUACAAGAGAACAAUGAGCUGACUCGUUUCUAUGGGGGAAAAAACCAAUUUUCCCGUAUAUCCUCGGUUUCGCAUACGGUAGAAGUGGACGGUUGAAGAGGUGGCGAGUGUUCAUUUACAUUGCGCUCUCAUAAGAUACGUCGUAUCAGCUGAUACAGUCUACGGUUUUGAGUCGGUUACUAACUGAAGCAUUAGGGUACAUAAGGUUACGACAACAUCAUACGUCAUCGCACCAAGAAUGAUAGAAUACAAGGUUACGCCAAAAGUUUUAUUGAAAUUAAUAGAAUAAUGUUGCGCGAAAAUAUUUUGGGAUUAAAACUAGUAUCGAAGGAUUAUGUAUAAUUACAACAAAUGACGAUUUAAGUUUUUAUCAUGGUCGGAGAGCUACAACAGUAAUGACAUAUUUGCAAGAUGAAUUCCGCAGACUUUUGUUGAAUUGUUUGGAAACUGAUCCUUCACUUUAUUCGUCAAAGGAAAGCAUUAUUAAUAUACGCCAAUAAUUGCCAUAGUUUUCGAGCUCAUUCUCAGGAUCUCACAGAUGCAAUGAUACGAAAACCAAACAUUGUGCUAUUUACCGAAACUAGGUUAGACAAUGAUGAGAACGUCCGCAUAUCAAACUUCACUUGUGUCGCCAUAUAUAAUAUUAAAGACCGAACAUUUGAGCAAGAAGUUUGCGAUUUAUUAUAAUGAAUGUAAAACAUUAAACAUUGACAUUACAAAUUUUAAUACGAGUGCAAUAAAUACCACUGCACAUACAGUGAGUUUGACUGAAA